rnacentral:rRNA from 1 species
GACGAACGCUGGCGGCGUGCUUAACACAUGCAAGUCGAACGAUGAAGCUAGAGCUUGCUCUGGUGAAUUAGUGGCGAACGGGUGAGUAACACGUGAGUAACCUGCCCCGAACUCUGGGAUAACUGCUGGAAACGGUAGCUAAUACUGGAUACGACCUACGAAGGCAUCUUCUGUAGGUGGAAAGAAUUUCGGUUCGGGAUGAACUCGCGGCCUAUCAGCUUGUUGGUGAGGUAAUGGCUCAACAAGGCGACGACGGGUAGCCGGCCUGGGUGGGUGGGCGGCCACGCUGGGACUGGGACACGGCCCAGACACCUACGGGGGGCAUCAGUGGGGAAUAUUGCACACUGGGCGCAGGGCUGAUGCAGCAACGCCGCGUGAGGAAUGAAGGCCUUCGGGUUGUCAACCUCUUUUAGUAGGGAAGAAGCGAAAGUGACGGUACCUGCAGAAAAAGCACCGGCUAACUACGUGCCAGCCGCCGCGGUAA